rnacentral:rRNA from 1 species
GAUGAACGCUGGCGGCGUGCCUAAUACAUGCAAGUCGAGCGAACGGACGAGAAGCUUGCUUCUCUGAUGUUAGCGGCGGACGGGUGAGUAACACGUGGAUAACCUACCUAUAAGACUGGGAUAACUUCGGGAAACCGGAGCUAAUACCGGAUAAUAUUUUGAACCGCAUGGUUCAAAAGUGAAAGACGGUCUUGCUGUCACUUAUAGAUGGAUCCGCGCUGCAUUAGCUAGUUGGUAAGGUAACGGCUUACCAAGGCAACGAUGCAUAGCCGACCUGAGAGGGUGAUCGGCCACACUGGAACUGAGACACGGUCCAGACUCCUACGGGAGGCAGCAGUAGGGAAUCUUCCGCAAUGGGCGAAAGCCUGACGGAGCAACGCCGCGUGAGUGAUAAGGUCUUCGGAUCGUAAAACUCUGUUAUUAGGGAAGAACAUAUGUGUAAGUAACUGUGCACACCUUGACGGUACCUAAUCAGAAAGCCACGGCUAACUACGUG